rnacentral:rRNA from 1 species
UGAGUACGAGAUGCUACGGCGUCGAAGCAGUCUAUGUCAUACUUCCAAGAAAAGCUUGCACUGUCAUAAACAAAUAAUGCCUGUACCAUAACCGACACAGGUGGGUAGGUAGAGUAUACUAAGGGGCGCGAGAUAACUCUCUCUAAGGAACUCGGCAAAAUGACUCCGUAACUUCGGGAGAAGGAGUGCCUUAUUUUAUAAGGUUGCAAUAACAAGAUCCAAGCAACUGUUUACCAAAAACACAGGUCUCCGCUAAGUCGUAAGACGAUGUAUGGGGGCUGACGCCUGCCCAGUGCCAGAAGGUUAAAGAAGUCGGUUAGUUUACGCGAAGCUGGUAACUGAAGCCCUGGUGAACGGCGGCCGUAACAAUAACGGUCCUAAGGUAGCGAAAUUCCUUGUCGGGUAAGUUCCGACCCGCACGAAAGGCGUAAUGAUUUGGAUACUGUCUCGGAGAGGGACUCGGUGAAAUAGACUUGUCUGUGAAGAUGCGGACUACCUGCACCAGGACAGAAAGACCCUAUGAAGCUUUACUGUAACUUGAAAUUGAAGUUGGACUUUACUUGCGCAGUAUAGGUGGGAGGCUUUGAGAAUAUUCUUGCGGGAAUAUUGGAGCCAUCAGUGAGAUACCACUCUGGUAAUGUUAGAUUUCUAACUUUGAAUCAUUAUCUGGUCAAAGAACAGUUUCAGGCGGGCAGUUUGACUGGGGCGGUCGCCUCCUAAACGGUAACGGAGGCGCACAAAGGUUUCCUCUGAACGGGUAGAAAUCGUAUCUAGAGUGUAAAGGCAUAAGGAAGCUUGACUGUGAGACCUACAAGUCGAGCAGGGACGAAAGUCGGUCUUAGUGAUCUGACGGUGCUGAGUGGAAAGGCCGUCACUCAACGGAUAAAAGUUACUCUAGGAUAACAGGCUGAUCUCCCCCAAGAGUUCACAUCGACGGGGAGGUUUGGCACCUCGAUGUCGGCUCAUCGCAUCCUGGGGCGGUAGUACGUCCCAAGGGUUGGGCUGUUCGCCCAUGAAAGCGGUACGCGAGCUGGGUUCAGAACGUCGUGAGACAGUUCGGUCCAUAUCCGGUGUAGGCGUUAGAAUAUUGAGAGGAGCCUUCUUUAGUACGAGAGGACCGAGAAGGAUGCACCUCUGGUGUACCAGUUAUUGUGCCAACAGUAAACGCUGGGUAGCUAUGUGUGGAGUGGAUAACCGCUGAAAGCAUCUAAGUGGGAAGCCCACCUCAAGAUAAG